rnacentral:rRNA from 1 species
GAUGAACGCUGGCGGCGUGCCUAAUACAUGCAAGUCGAGCGAACAGACGAGGCGCUUGCUCCUCUGACGUUAGCGGCGGACGGGUGAGUAACACGUGGAUAACCUACCUAUAAGACUGAGAUAACUUCGGGAAACCGGAGCUAAUACCGGAUAAUAUAUUGAACCGCAUGGUUCAAUAGUGAAAGACGGUUUUGCUGUCACUUAUAGAUGGAUCCGCGCCGCAUGAGCUAGUUGGUAAGGUAACGGCGGACCAAGGCGACGGUGCGUAGCCGACCGGAGAGGCAGAUCGGUCACAAUGGAACGGAGACACGGUCCAGACGCCGACGGGAGGCAGCAGUGGGGAAUAUUGGACAAUGGGCGAAAGACGGAUGCAGCGAUGCCGAGUGUGUGAAGAAGGUCUUCGGAUUGUAAAGCACUUUAAGUUGGGAGGAAGGGCAGUAAGUUAAUACCUUGCUGUUUUGACGUUACCAACAGAAUAAGCACCGGCUAACUUCGUG